rnacentral:rRNA from 1 species
AUUGAACGCUGGCGGCAGGCUUAACACAUGCAAGUCGAGCGGAGUAUUGGUGCUUGCACCAAUACUUAGCGGCGGACGGGUGAGUAAUGCUUAGGAAUCUGCCUAUUAGUGGGGGACAACAUCUCGAAAGGGAUGCUAAUACCGCAUACGCCCUACGGGGGAAAGCAGGGGAUCUUCGGACCUUGCGCUAAUAGAUGAGCCUAAGUCGGAUUAGCUAGUUGGUGGGGUAAAGGCCUACCAAGGCGACGAUCUGUAGCGGGUCUGAGAGGAUGAUCCGCCACACUGGGACUGAGACACGGCCCAGACUCCUACGGGAGGCAGCAGUGGGGAAUAUUGGACAAUGGGGGGAACCCUAAUCCAGCCAUGCCGCGUGUGUGAAGAAGGCCUUUUGGUUGUAAAGCACUUUAAGCGAGGAGGAGGCUACUCUAGUUAAUACCUAGAGAUAGUGGACGUUACUCGCAGAAUAAGCACCGGCUAACUCUGUGCCAGCCGCCGCGGUAAUAC